rnacentral:rRNA from 1 species
CCUACGGGUGGCAGCAGUGGGGGAUAUUGCACAAUGGGGGGAACCCUGAUGCAGCGACGCCGCGGGGGUGAAGGAGUGCUUCGGCAUGUAAAGCCCUAUCGGCAGGGAAGAAGCAAGACGGUACCUGACUAAGAAGCCCCGGCUAACUACGUGCCCGCAGCCGGGGUAAUACGUAGGGGGCGAGCGUUAUCCGGAUUCACGGGGGGUAAAGGGAGCGUAGACGGCCAUGCAAGCCAGGGGUGAAAGCCCGGGGCCCAACCCAGGGACUGCCCUUGGAACUGGGCGGCUAGAGUGCGGGAGGGGCAGGCGGAAUGCCUGGUGUAGCGGUGAAAUGCGUAGAUAUCAGGAGGAACACCGGCGGCGAAGGCGGCCUGCUGGACCGCGACUGACGUUGAGGCUCGAAAGCGUGGGGAGCGAACAGGAUUAGAUACCCGUGUAGUC